UGAAAGCCUAAGUGAAGCGGUGUUGUUUCACAAAGGUUAUUUAAACUUUUUUUUUUUAAUUUUCAUUUCUUCUUUACUUCUAAAAAAAAAAAACGAAAGAAAAGGCCUUCAAAUCCUCUCCCCCUUCUCAGUCUCCGGUCCAGGUCCGGCAUGGCUCUAGUGAGCCUCAGCCAUGGCUUCGCCGUGGCCUUUCGAAUCCCCUCUUUUUUUUUUUAAAUAGAUUUAGGCUAUUUUUAAAAAAAAAGGAAAACACAACAAAAAAAUGAAAUAAUGGUUGAAUAGCAAGGGGAGAAAACUCCCGUCUUCGCCGCUCCUCCGACCCUCGUCGAAACCCGAGUGGGUUUUGUGACGUUUGGGUCACCGGAGGUUCUCAACCGCGACAGAGAACGAACCACGGUAAGAUUGUAUUAUUAUUUAUGCUUUUAUUUUGAAUAAAUAAAUAAAUGAGGCACCUUUGAAAUAUUUGGUUCUGAUUGUUUCUAUUUUUAUUCAAGAGUUCUUGUCUAAAAAAACAAUACAAUCUAGUCUUGGGGCUUUAUAGCUGAUUUGAUUUUUCUGUUUAGGCCUCUGUUUCUACUGUUUCUAUUUGCUUUUUCUGCUUUUUGCUGCUUUCCUUUCUUUAUUGUGUUUGCAGGUCAUAGAAGGAGUUAGUGAGGGCAAAUUUUGCCAUUCUGGUGUAAGGUAGACAGAGGGGCUGACCCUCGGGCGACGUGCGCGCCAAGGUCGCACAUGGAGGCUGCGGCGCCUAGGGUUUCCUUCGGCUGAAAGUGUCUAGGCUCUGGGCUAUGUUUUGGGCUAGGGUUUUUAGUUUUGGGCCUGCAAAAUUUGGGCUUUUUAUUUGGGUUAUUUGUUUGGGCUGAUGACUUAUUGUAAAUGGACUUGAUAUUUGGACUUAAUUAUUUUUGGUCUAUUAUUAUUGGUAAUGGGUUGGUCCAUUUUUGGCUUUUAUUGCCCCGGGCUAAAUUGGCCUAUUCCAAUUAUUUUUAAGUCAUUUCAUUCAAUGUUUCUUUUCAUAUGUUUAUUUUCAAUUUAAAUUAAAUUUUCACUAGAAUUUUCUUUGUUAUUUCAUUUAUUUUUCCUUUAUUAUUUUAUUUAUUUAUUUCAUUUUUAUUUUGUUUUUGUUCUCAUUAUUAUUUGUCUUAUUAUACAUUUAUUCAUUUAUGUCUUCA
rnacentral:lncRNA from 1 species